CAAGCCAUGGCAUAAAGCUUAAAAUAUAAGUUUUAAAACCCCCAAACCAUCUCAAACCAUUGAACUAAAAUAAAUCCGGAGGAGAAAAUAUAUCUUUGGCUAGAUUUUCCUAGAAUUUAAGUCUAAUUUAAAUUAUUCUGGACCCACUAAAUUGUCAUAUUUCAAACUUAUUUUUGUUUUUUUACUUAUAAUUUAAGAAAAACUAACGAAAAACCAAAAAAAAAACUUUAGUUUUAAUGAAAAAGGACGGCUAUGAUCAAAUGAAAUUAAAUGUAAUGGUAAAAAAAAGAUUUGAAGGUCCAAAAUUAAAUCUAACAUCUAAAAUGAUUUAAGACACUUAGUAAAAUCAAAUUUAACUUAAAACUUUAUAAAUACCUAUGUAUUUGUAUGAUUUUUAAUUACUUAUCGAAAUUUAAUUAUUUUUAGAUUAAAAUGUUCAUAAAAAUAAAUUAAGAUAACCUACAUAAAUUUUAUUUUCAAAAAUGUUACCGAAAAAAAAAAAAAUUAGGUAAACAUUAUUAUUUAAUGAUCUUGGACUAAAAUUUUAAGUCAUAAUGGUUAAAGGAGAAAAACAAUUUCUAGGUUAUGUAUUAAAAUUUUCUAGCUUAAAUUUUUAAGCUUUAUCCCCAAUGGUUGGAGAAGCUAUGGGAUAAAGCUUAAAAUAUAAGCUAUAAAACCCUUCAAAUCAUCUCGAACCAUUGGGCUAAAAUAAAAUAUUUCUUUAGGCUAGAUUUUAAGUCUGACUUAAAAUAUUAUGGGCCCACCAAACUAUCGUAUUUCACACAUUUUUUUUUCUUUUUACUUAUAAUCUAACGUUUGUGAUCAAAUGAGAUCAAAUCUAAUAGUAAAAUAAUUUAUGAAAAUUAUGUAAAUCAAAUUUUACUUAAAAAUUUAUAAAUACCUAUGUGUUUGUAUGAUUUUUAAUUACUUAUCAGAAAUUAAAUAUUUUUAGAUGAAAAUGUUCAUAAAAAUAAAUUAGAAUAAUCAACAUAAAUUUUAAAGUUACCGAAAAAAUUAGGUUCAAAUUAUUAUUUAAUAAUUUUGGACUAACAUUUUAAGCUAUAAGUAUUGGAGG
rnacentral:lncRNA from 1 species